AACAUGAUAGAAGUUCCCUUAUCAUUCUUCCGGCGCUUGGAGCCAGUGGUGGAGUGUAUUCUCUUAUUGUAUUCCAUCUAUUGAGUGGGCCGACAUGCUCCCCAUUCAUUUGGUUACCGUCCAAAGCUCUGGGGAUGUUGCUACUGUGGGUGGAUGUCAACAAAUUUGUAAAGGGAAAUAAAGAUCGCUCGGAUAUUUCUCUCACUGACGGGCCAUUUGGGUAGUGUCGCGGUUGCAGUUGUAGUUUGGACGGGUAUGAGGAUUGGGUGUUUCUGAAUUUUUCUCGGCUCUGAAGAGUCUUUUAUUUUGUGUGUAAAUCAUAUAGUCUAUGAUGGUUUUUGUUUUCUAAUUACUUUCACACGGAUUUGGCCA